GGGAUAUUGCACAAUGGGGGGAACCCUGAUGCAGCGACGCCGCGUGGGUGAAGGAGCGUUUCGGCGCGUAAAGCCCUAUCGGCAGGGAAGAAGAAAUGACGGUACCUGAGUAAGAAGCCCCGGCUAACUACGUGCCAGCAGCCGCGGUAAUACGUAGGGGGCAAGCGUUAUCCGGAAUUACUGGGUGUAAAGGGAGCGUAGACGGUGAUGUAAGUCUGGAGUGAAAGGCGGGGGCCCAACCCCCGGACUGCUCUGGAAACUAUGUGACUGGAGUGCAGGAGAGGUGAGCGGAAUUCCUAGUGUAGCGGUGAAAUGCGUAGAUAUUAGGAGGAACACCAGUGGCGAAGGCGGCUCACUGGACUGUAACUGACGUUGAGGCUCGAAAGUGUGGGUAUCAAACAG
rnacentral:rRNA from 1 species